AUUGAACGCUGGCGGUAGGCCUAACACAUGCAAGUCGAACGGCAGCACAGUAAGAGCUUGCUCUUACGGGUGGCGAGUGGCGGACGGGGGAGGGAUACAUCGGAAUCUACGUGGGAGUGGGGGCUAACGUAGGGGAACUUACGGUAAUACCGCAUACGACCUACGGGGGAAAGCAGGGGAUCUUCCGACCUCGCGUGAGUCAAUGAGCCGAUAUCGGAUUAGCGAGUUGGCGGGGUAAAGGCGCACCAAGGCGACGAUCCGUAGCCGGUCUGAGAGGAUGAUCAGUCACACUGGAACUGAGACACGGUCCAGACUCCUACGGGAGGCAGCAGUGGGGAAUAUUGGACAAUGGGCGCAAGCCUGAUCCAGCCAUGCCGCGUGGGUGAAGAAGGCCUUCGGGUUGUAAAGCCCUUUUGUUGGGGAAGAAAAGCAGCAGGUUAAUACCCCGCUGUUCUGACGUUACCCACAGAAUAAGCACCGGCUAACUUCGUG
rnacentral:rRNA from 1 species